rnacentral:rRNA from 1 species
AUUGAACGCUGGCGGCAUGCCUUACACAUGCAAGUCGAACGGCAGCACGAGGCAACCUGGUGGCGAGUGGCGAACGGGUGAGUAAUGCAUCGGAACGUACCUUUCAGUGGGGGAUAACGUAGCGAAAGUUACGCUAAUACCGCAUAUUCUGUGAGCAGGAAAGCAGGGGAUCGCAAGACCUUGCGCUGAUUGAGCGGCCGAUGUCAGAUUAGCUAGUUGGUGAGGUAAAGGCUCACCAAGGCGACUAUCCGUAGCGGGUCUGAGAGGAUGAUCCGCCACACUGGAACUGAGACACGGUCCAGACUCCUACGGGAGGCAGCAGUGGGGAAUUUUGGACAAUGGGGGCAACCCUGAUCCAGCCAUGCCGCGUGAGUGAAGAAGGCCUUCGGGUUGUAAAGCUCUUUCGGCCGGGAAGAAAUCGCACGGGCUAAUACCCUGUGUGGAUGACGGUACCGGAAUAAGAAGCACCGGCUAACUACGUGCCAGCAGCCGCCGCCGUAA